UCCUUGGCAGGGAGGUCGGACUGGAUGAUCUCCAGGGGUUGUUUCCAACCCUGACAAUUCUGUGAUUCUCUGAAAGUCAAUUCUUAAAGCUUUUAACCUCAUCUGCUUCACUUGCAGAGGCACCACCUUCCUGUGUUAGGGGGACGACUUUGGGGUCAGGAAAGGGGGGAGUUUGAACAACAAUGGUUUAAGCACUUGGGCCCUGAAGGCAAUUUCUGCUACUGCUGAUUUGUGGUGUUGUGUAACUGCUGCAGCAGGAAUGGAUAACUUGAUCUUUGCCCUGGGAAGAGAAGUUUGGCCGUGGCUGUUUGCUCCAGGGUAUCUCUGCAGGCCUUGGCUCGACUCGCACAGACUUGUGCCAGAUCUGAUACACUGUACAUUGUAGGGUUGGUUGGUGUUUCCACCAACUAAACAACGCUGGAGAUAGAAAUAAUCUUUGAAAUAUAGGCAUUGCUAGUUCAAGAACCAACAGUCAAAGAAUACUGGCACUUUUAAGAGGAAUGAAGUUUCCACUGUCAUUUAAAACAAGCAUUCAGGUAAAGCUAACAGGAUCAUGAAGCAGAAAGUAAAGUAAUGCUAAAACAAAUGCUAAUAAUUUAGUGUAAUGUACAAAAUUACUUCAGUACUUCUUAAGGAUAAAUUGUAUUUACAUAAUUA